CUUAGUAAACACUUAGGAGUAGAAUUGCUGGGUCAUAAGGUAACAUACUAAUUAUUUAAGACAGUGACAAAUAGUUUUUUAAAGUGGUUUACCAUUUUAGAAUUUAUCAAGCAAUGCAUUAAACUUGACAGUAAAGCUUUGUUUUGUUUUCACAUUUUAUCAUGUUCUUACUAAGAAGCAAUGUGGCAAGAAGAAUGAAGACUGGAAUUAGCCCAAGGUAACAGGAGAAAACCAAAAAGAGCUCCAUUGACAAGUGGCACCACUGUCUCCUAAUUUCAAAUAACAAGGAGCCAGACAUUAAAGACUAAAACAUUCAAAAACAACUGCAUGUAUGGGGAAAAUUACAAAAUAACUGCCGAUGCCCAGGGAAAGGCUCAGAAAAGACCUAAGAAUACAUUAAGUUUACAUGUCAGGCUGAUCCUUGGCACUGAAACA